rnacentral:tRNA from 2 species
GCGGUUAUGGCGGAAUUGGCAGACGCGCCAGAUUUAGGUUCUGGUGGGAGACCGUGCAGGUUCAAGUCCUGUUAGCCGCAUCA